rnacentral:tRNA from 1 species
GGUGAUAGAUUAGCUCAGCUGGGAGAGCACCUCCUUUACAAGGAGGGGGUCGGCGGUUCGAUCCCGUCAUCACCA